rnacentral:tRNA from 4 species
UCUUCGAUAGUACAGGGGUUAGUAUAUCCGCUUUUCAGGAAUUAAAUUUCUACGCGGACGACCCGGGUUCGAAUCCCGGUCGGAGAA